CUUUAGAAAAGUCCCACAACCUUCAUGGGAUAUCUUCAAUCCAUGAGUGGAACAAGAAGUCACUCUCUCGUUUGCCGGUGAAUGAAAGCCCCCAGAUCAGAGGGGGCUCCUGUCCCACACAGCUCCUUGGAAAGUCAAGAGCUAUGGAUUCCCUGGAAUCUACCCUCAAAGCAAAUAAGGCCCUCAUCCCUCUGUUUCCGAAACAAGAAGCUGUAUUGUCCCUGGCUGCGGGUGCCAUUUUGUUUUCCUCAUAAACUGGGUAGUUCCAGGACAAAAGUGAUAUGGGGAGAAGCAGACAUUUUCCAAACAGCACCUGCAUCAUCCGGUCUAAAAAUAAAUCCAGUAGGACUGGUUUUAGGAGAGAAGCCACUGCUAAAAAUAAUGCUUACACGUACGAUGACAUCAGCAGGUAACUGACCUGGGACCUGCAGGGCCCCAGCAUCUAACCGACAUCUUGAGCUCUGGUCUGCUUUGUGAGGUGAUCAAUCUGUCUUCACCCUCCGCCCACCUGGCCUUCAUUUCAGGAGCCCAGGGCUGGGCCCGCUAAAUUCAAGGAAAGGGGCUGGCAGAACAUAGGGAAGCUCUGGAUUUAGAGCUUUCAUUAAAAAAUAAUAUGGACUUUUCUAUUUCAAGAACAGAAUGUCUAAUAAUGCUGCUGAGGAGAAGCUCUCCAGGACCUGCUUUGAUGGCGCUGAUGGGAUGGCAGGCAGGGGCCGCCUCAGGCAGCCUAAUUGCUGCAACUCUACACUCCAAUUAGACACCAAAUGAACGUGCUGAAUAAU